GAUCUUUUUGUUCAAGAGAAGAGGUAUGUUUAAAAAUGGACAAAAGAAAAGGGUAUUGGUGCAAAAAGAUAGUAGAAAAAGAUAUUUUUGCAAAUCACCCAUGAUAUUAUUAAUUUAGCAACGAAAAAUAUUUAUCAACGACAUUACCGAUCUAUAAAAGUUUAUGAUAUUAAUAGUGUAGAUAAACUCUAUA
rnacentral:sRNA from 1 species